AUUGAACGCUGGCGGAAUGCUUUACACAUGCAAGUCGAACGGCAGCACGGACUUCGGUCUGGUGGCGAGUGGCGAACGGGUGAGUAAUGUAUCGGAACGUGCCCAGUCGUGGGGGAUAACGUAGUGAAAUUUACGCUAAUACCGCAUACGAUCUAUGGAUGAAAGCGGGGGAUCGCAAGACCUCGCGCGAUUGGAGCGGCCGAUAUCAGAUUAGGUAGUUGGUGGGGUAAAGGCCCACCAAGCCAACGAUCUGUAGCUGGUCUGAGAGGAAGACCAGCCAGACUGUGACUGGGACCCGGUCCAGACUCCUACGGGAGGCAGCAGUGGGGAAUUUUGGACAAUGGGCGAAAGCCUGUUCCAGCCAUUCCGCGUGCAGGAUGAAGGCCCUCGGGUUGUAAACUGCUUUUGUACAGAACGAAAAGGUUUCUACUAAUACUAGGAGCUCAUGACGGUACUGUAAGAAUAAGCACCGGCUAACUACGUGCCAGCCGCCGCGGUAA
rnacentral:rRNA from 1 species